AGGGUUUGAUUAUGGCUCAGGACGAACGCUGGCGGCGUGCCUAACACAUGCAAGUCGAACGGAGUUAAGCUCUUCGGAACUUAACUUAGUGGCGAACGGGUGAGUAACGCGUGAGGAACCUGCCUUUCAGUGGGGGACAACAGUUGGAAACGACUGCUAAUACCGCAUGACACUUUUGGGAGACAUCUCCUGAAAGUCAAAGCUUUAUGUGCUGAAAGAUGGCCUCGCGUCUGAUUAGCUGGUUGGUGAGGUAACGGCUCACCAAGGCGACGAUCAGUAGCCGGUCUGAGAGGAUGAACGGCCACAUUGGGACUGAGAUACGGCCCAG
rnacentral:rRNA from 1 species